rnacentral:rRNA from 1 species
UCCGUAGGUGAACCUGCGGAAGGAUCAUUACCUAGAGUUUGUAGACUUCGGUCUGCUACCUCUUACCCAUGUCUUUUGAGUACCUUCGUUUCCUCGGCGGGUCCGCCCGCCGAUUGGACAACAUUCAAACCCUUUGCAGUUGCAAUCAGCGUCUGAAAAAACAUAAUAGUUACAACUUUCAACAACGGAUCUCUUGGUUCUGGCAUCGAUGAAGAACGCAGCGAAAUGCGAUAAGUAGUGUGAAUUGCAGAAUUCAGUGAAUCAUCGAAUCUUUGAACGCACAUUGCGCCCCUUGGUAUUCCAUGGGGCAUGCCUGUUCGAGCGUCAUUUGUACCUUCAAGCUCUGCUUGGUGUUGGGUGUUUUGUCUCGCCUCUGCGUGUAGACUCGCCUUAAAACAAUUGGCAGCCGGCGUAUUGAUUUCGGAGCGCAGUACAUCUCGCGCUUUGCACUCAUAACGGCGACGUCCAAAAGUACAUUUUUACACUCUUGACCUCGGAUCAGGUAGGGAUACCCGCUGAACUUAAGCAUAUCAAUAAGCGGAGGA